CUAAUCAAGGGCUUCAUUAGUUGCACCAGGUGUGCUUGAGCUGGAACACAUGGAAUACCUGAACAGGCUAGGGGUAGAAAGAUAUGGAAUACCUGGACCGGGCAGAAAAAGGAAGCUAUCGACGGCUGCAAGCAGAUUUCUAAGACUCUGGAUCCACCACAACCCUGUUCAGAAUAAAGAGCUUACUGAAACUGUUGCUUGUUGGAAUGGAUACUAAUCAGAGUGGGGAUACACCACUACAGGACCAGAGUUGAGAUGUUCUGGAGGAAGAUUUGGCUGCCAUUCGCUAUAGGACGUGUUGAGUGAGGGUGGAGUUCAGCCUGCGUCCUUGAAAGCCUGUGUUUAAACUCUAAAAUAGAGCUUUAGUGGAUGACCACGACUGCAGCGUGCAAUUAGGAGGCCGUACACCUACCAAGGAAGAAGCUCACUGCAGCAUCACACACCAGUCUGGUUUGAUGAGAUAGCAAUUUUUAGUUGGAAGCAACUUGAAUAAGUGCAAACAACGGCACAUGAACUCAGUCCCCUUUAUCAGUUUGAACCAAAUAAAACACACAUUAAUCGUUGCCUGUAAUGGGAUUGGUGCAUACAGACUGACGUGUUGGAUUUGUACUGGUUUCUCAUGGUCAUGAUUUCUUGGAUCAUAUAAACA
ensembl:lncRNA